ACUGUCUGGUGAAAAUGGUUUCAAGUACCUUAAUCUAUCUUUAGCCAAUGUUAUGACAAAAACACUAGCACAACUUCAAAAGUUUAACUGAACAAUGUUUUUUCUAGGAUUCCAGUCUCUUCCUUAUCUUCAUGAUAAGGUCCUUACUGCUGCUGAUGCUUUCAUCGGUUUCUCUUCCAAUCAGUAGAAGCAGCAGGUUAUUAGGCCUGGGAUUCUAGCUGGUAUUGUCAAAGGCUUUAAAGCAGGGAAAGAAGAGCAGACCACUGAUACUACUCCCACACCUCAAUCCAAUUU
rnacentral:misc_RNA from 1 species